AUUUGGUGAUGAGGACAAGUGGAACACAACUUGUUGAAUCCCUCCUACUACUCAUGCAAAGUCUCACUAUUUUGUUGCCUUAUUCCACAAAUCUCUUUUCUAAUUGU
rfam:Cajanus cajan Scaffold000303_15, whole genome shotgun sequence.